ensembl:piRNA 21ur-533 ncRNA
UAAUAACGAAAUUCUGCUGUU